GAGUUUGAUCCUGGCUCAGAACGAACGCUGGCGGCAGGCUUAACACAUGCAAGUCGAGCGCGUAGCAAUACGAGCGGCAGACGGGUGAGUAACGCGUGGGAAUCUACCCGGAACUACGGAAUAACAUGAAGAAAUUUAUGCUAAUACCGUAUACGCCCUUUUGGGGAAAGAUUUAUUGGUUUCGGAUGAGCCCGCGUUGGAUUAGCUUGUUGGUAGGGUAAUGGCCUACCAAGGCGACGAUCCAUAGCUGGUCUGAGAGGAUGAUCAGCCACACUGGGACUGAGACACGGCCCAGACUCCUACGGGAGGCAGCAGUGGGGAAUAUUGGACAAUGGGCGCAAGCCUGAUCCAGCCAUGCCGCGUGAGUGAUGAAGGCCUUAGGGUUGUAAAGCUCUUUCACCGGUGAAGAUAAUGACGGUAACCGGAGAAGAAGCCCCGGCUAACUUCGUGCCAGCAGCCGCGGUAAUACGAAGGGGGCUAGCGUUGUUCGGAUUUACUGGGCGUAAAGCGCACGCAGGCGGAUAUUUAAGUCAGAGGUGAAAUCCCGGGGCUCAACCCUGGAAUUGCCUUUGAUACUGGGUAUCUGGAGUACAGAAGAGGUAAGUGGAAUUCCGAGUGUAGAGGUGAAAUUCGUAGAUAUUCGGAGGAC
rnacentral:rRNA from 1 species